AACCAAAGAGGUCAAGUCAUACUGGCCCUGGUCCUCAGGUGUCAGUGAAGCUAUGCCAAUUUAUACUUGCUGGAAAAAUUGGCCCAACGUGUUUUAAGUCUUUUCAUCUAUCAGGAUUAUAGAGUUUUUUUAAAAACUUUUUAAAAAGUGCUAAUAGUAAAUCUUAGAGGUUGCACAUACUUGUGGAGGCUUCUUUAUAGAAAUGCUUUUUAGGUGCAGUCGGUACGCGAGGCACAAGCUGUGAAAGCCGAUUACCCUUUUGAGAUCACAAUGGCAAACGGAAAGAAGAAACUCCUGGUAAGAAUAGAAUGUCGGUGCUAUCAAAUACCUGGGACUUAGGAGGUUCAGUGAGUUUUGUAGUGACAUGGUAGCCAAAGUGUAUUCCCUAACCCACUGUGGAGCCAGGGCUGCCCCAGCUCUCUCCAGUCUCAAGCUAUGUUGCUCUAUUACAACAUUAUCCAAUGACUUGGUCCAGUACACAGAUAUAAGAUUGCUCGACUAUGGCCGAAGACCUUUGUAGUGGGACUCCUUCCAUUGACUUCACUGGGCUUUGAAUCAGGCCCAUAUUUUGCUAUCCAAUUUCUUGGAAUGUUCAGCUUUCAUCCCUAGCCUCAAUGUAAAGAAAAGGAUCACAAGUAAAAAAAAAGAUACAGCCCUGGACUCGGGGAGGUGGAGAGGAAAUGGUUACGACAGGCUUUGUGAAAUUAACAUGCAUCAAUAAAAUGUCUAUCCUUUUCUUCCAGUUAAAUGUCCCUAACGAUUGUACUUCUUUUUCGAUCAGUCUGCAGAAUCUGCUGAUUUACGUACUGCCUGGAUUGAAAUCUUAUGGAAAUCGAUGCAGCUGCCCGGGCCUGGCAGAGAACAGUCAGCCUGCACGUGGCAUGAUGUUCCUAGCUUGAUGGAAAGAGCUCAAGUUGCUAGAGACCAUAAGGAAGAAAAUCAUUACAACACUGUACUUUAUGUCAAGGAGACCAUUAGCUGCACAUACAGGGUCACUGAUCUCUUAAUAUCAGAGGAGACCAAGAAAACCACUGAUUUUCAUACCUCUAGUGAGUUCUUUCAUAUUUAAUUUGAGUUUUGAACUUUGUUUCAAAUAGGAUGGAUGUCCUUAAAAGGCAAAGGGCUUCCAGUGAGGAUUUUCUGCCUUUUGUUAUGUGCAAACACUUCUUUGAGUAACUUACCCCACUGACACUGAGGGAGGUCUCUGAAGGCUUGGGGGAAACGGGGUCCUGCUGUUUCAUUAGCAGUCUGGCUCUAAAACAUCAUUGUCAUUGCAUCAUGUCAAACAAUGACACUUGUGAGACUUAUUCACAAUGAUAUACUUCCAGUUCUCAAGCACCGUGAAUCCAGAGAUCUCAAAGCCUUUGAUUAAUGUUCUGGCUCAUUAUCUUUGUCAAGUAGGUAAAUGUUAUUUUACCCAUUUUGCAGAAGGGAGGCAUAGAGCAGUUGUGAUUUGCCCAAGAUUACAGAGGAUUCGGCAGCAAACUGGGCAUGGAACCCAAGUGUCCUGACUUUGUCAUUGGUUCUAAAUUUUAGACCAUAUAUUGAAACCAUUGGUUCAGAAACGCAAACAAAUCAAUAAUUAGUUCAUUAACAAGAGUCCACCUGAUACUUCUCUUUUGUUUCUCUUCUUUUGAAUCAAGAUUUUAAUGAAGACAGAGAGUCAGCUAUUUAUGAAACUCUAAAAGUGGAGACGAUGGAAGACAAGUCUAGUGAUGAGAUAGGGGAAAUUGGUGGAGAUGCUAAAGAACAGCAUGGAGCAGCUGGUUGCACUACUUCUGUUGCGCAGACAACACACAGUGAUCCAUGUCUUGCUGUCAACAGCGCUGCCCCAGCAGAGGAUGAAUUCAUGCCCUGAGCUCUUCAGAAGGAACCACUGGCUGCUAAGAAAGAAAGUCUGUUAAUUUUAAGGGAGCUGCUCCCAUCCAUCCCUGAAAAUGUUCAGGACAAAAGUCCUCUUUAGGCAAAGCUGGAUAGAUGGGGUUUCCUUUGCUUUUCCUCUCAGGUUUCCAAUCCGGGAUCACUGUUGCUUUUAAAAACUUUUCCCUGUUUGGGUUAAUUUUUUGUUAUUAAUUAAAUAUGCUUUGUACUGAAUUUUUGUUUUUCAAGCAUUAAAAGAUA